CGAUGGGGGAGCUGAUCAGCCAUGCCGCGUGUGUGAGAAGGUCUUCGGAUUGUAAGCACUUUAAGUUGGGAGGAAGGGUUGUAGAUUAAUACUCUGCAAUUUUGACGUUACCGACAGAAUAAGCACCGGCUAACUCUGUGCCAGCAGCCGCGGUAAUACAGAGGGUGCAAGCGUUAAUCGGAAUUACUGGGCGUAAAGCGCGCGUAGGUGGUUUGUUAAGUUGGAUGUGAAAUCCCCGGGCUCAACCUGGGAACUGCAUCCAAAACUGGCAAGCUAGAGUAUGGUAGAGGGUGGUGGAAUUUCCUGUGUAGCGGUGAAAUGCGUAGAUAUAGGAAGGAACACCAGUGGCGAAGGCGACCACCUGGACUGAUACUGACACUGAGGUGCGAAAGCGUGGGGAGCAAA
rnacentral:rRNA from 1 species